rnacentral:siRNA from 1 species
CAGCUCGUUUCUAAACGCUGG